rnacentral:lncRNA from 1 species
CCACUCUUAAGUGAAUCCUGAAGAUUACUAGCAAGUUUCUCUUUUUCUCUUUCAAGUUCAUCAACCUUUUUUAGUAGGGCUUUAUUGACCUUUUUGAUUUUAAGACUCUCUUUAAACAAAAGUUGAUAAGCUUCUUGUAUGUCUAUGUCAUCCUCAUCCUCAUUACUAGAAUUAUCGUUAGGAAGUUCUUCCUCAACCUUGUCACUUUCUUUGUCAGAUUCACUCUUAACAGUCGAUACAAAUGCCAUAUAGUUUCCUUCGUCCUCACUACUAGAAGAUUCCUGCCUAUCACUGGUCUCAGAUUCAUUAUCUGUAAGUGAGACAACUAAGGCCUUACCUUUCCCUUUUCUUUGGUUCUUCUUAUAACUAGGGCAUUCAUUCCUAUAGUGACCUAUUCCUUGACACUCAUGGCACCUAACCAAACGAGGCUUAUCACUAGACCCUUUAUUGGUAAACUUUUCAAUUUUUUCUUUUGAAAAACUAUUAGGGGCUCCACUUUUUCUAUCCUGAGACUUUCUCCUAUUCUUGAGAACUUGUUGGAAUCUCUUAACAAAGCAAGCAAUUUCAUCGUCCCUAAGCGACUUAGUAUCAGAAGAUUCAUCCUCUUUGAUGGAUUUUAAGGCUAUGGACUUUCCUUUCUUAGGUUGUGUGACAGUGAGUUCAUAAGUUUGCAGGGAUCCUACCAGUUCUUCAAUUUUAACUUAAUCUAGGUCCUUACUUUCCUCAAUGGCAGUAAAUUUAGGCCUAAAUCUCUCGGGCAGGGACCUAAGCACUUUUCUCACAAUUUUAGACUCGGGAAUUCUCUCACCUAGAUUGAAGCUAGAAUUAACAAUGUCAUUCAAUUUAGCAUAGAAUUCGUCAAACGUUUCAUCAUCCUUCAUUCUCACUUCUUCAAACCUAGAUGCUAGCAUUUGUAACUUAGAAUUCUUUACCGUUUUAGUUCUCUCAUGUGUAGUUUCAAGAAUGUCCCAAACCUCUUUAGCAGUUUCACACAUUGACACUCUUCUAAACUCUUCGGGAGACACGGCCAUAAACAGGGCAUGAAGACCUUUGCUAUUCCAAUUACACUCAACUAUUUCAUCCUUAGUCCACAAUGAUAUAUCAGUUAGAUUAAUAGUUCCAGAAACGGUAGUGGAGGGAGGUUUCCAACUAUUUUGCACACUUACCCAAACAUGCUCAUCUAAAGACUUAAGAAAAGCACGCAUUCUAACCUUCCAAUAAGCAUAAUUACUUCCAUCGAAAAACGGAGGUACAGACAGUGAUUGACUCAUCUAGACAACUAUGGGUCAGGACUCGAGAUUUGGCUCUGAUACCACUUGAAAAAGCUAUAGUUCGACCCAACCAACACCUAGAGGGGGGUGAAUAGGUGUUUAUGCGGAAUUAAGGCAAUUAAUUAACUUAUGCAACAAGUCACAUAAAUUAUGCAUUGUCCAUAUUCAUUCACAUACUUUAUCUACCUAAGUUGAAUUAUCAGUUGAAAAGUAAAUAACAAAAACCAGUAAAAACGCCACAAAAUGUUGACGGAGAAAACCCAACUAGGUAAAAACUCCGGGCACAAGCCAGUAGAGAUCCACUAUAGAAGAUAUUGACUUACAGUACACCAGACAUUAUUGAUUCUAACAAUACUCUGACCUUCUUACUGUAUCGACCACAGCUAUCCUCGAUUUUGCAGAUCUGCGCCAAAAUCCCAGCCUUGAAUAUCUUCUACCUCCCGUGAAUCACCAAACACACGAGCUCUUCAAGCAAUUCCCUUCCCGGAUCUUCAAACUGACGAUCUUCUGGAAGUUGAUAUGGAGAUAUGAAAGGAUGUUUUGGUUUUGAGAGGGUUGAUGUUUUUAUUCAAAGAACCAUGAGAAUUAAAAGAUGAAAGAAUGAAUAUUAGGUUCUUAAUCCUUUGGAAGUUGAGAGGAAUUCCUGUUUGAAUGUUUGCCAAAGGUCUUUAACGAAAAUCGGACGUUUUGUUUAUAUAGUAGGUUGAAUUUGGUAAUAUGGAGCGUUAAAAAUUUGCGAGGCAUUAAAAUUACCAAAGGCCAGAUAACACCGUCGCUCGAGCGAGGUGCUGGCCUCGAGCGACGCACCUUCGAUCAAGCGACAGCUCAGCGAAACUCUAGCGACGUCUGUUCUGCAAUUUAGGCUCGAGCGAGGUCAGGGCGAAACUCUAGCGAAAUCAACGCGCCGUUUGCAUCUUCAAAGCAUCCCACUUUACCCUAGACCUAUGCUAUGAACUUUGCUAAAUUGCAACUUUAGUCCCUGAACUAUUAGACCUUUACGAUUUGGUCCUUGACUUUAUAAUUUUGACAAAUAGGUCCUUUGGUCACAGAUUGCCAAUUACACAUUUUCCUAACAGGUAUGAUUACUAUAAUUAGUUGUUUAAAUAUAAUGUUAUUCAUUUGUGUUUUAUCAAUUGGAAAUUAGGUGAGCCAAUCAACAGGAAUUCAUAAUCUCCUCCCAGAAAAACAAUUCAUAGUAACUAAAAAGGGUAAGUCGAUUUGUACUAUCCCCUACAUAUUCUUGCAAGAAUAUUACAUGGAUGACUAUAGCUUCAGAAAUACAUACUAUUGAGAUUAAUAUAGCGUUUUUUAUAUUAUUUAAUUUUAUAACAAUUUAGUUCAUAAACUUUUUCACACAUGUCAGUGACAUUACUUAUAUAUUCUCAUGCUUAAACAAUACCUAAGUAGAUAAUAUCCCACUACUAAAAAAAAAAAAAAAGCCUUUCACCUACGAAAAAUUACCAACGGAUGAAUUAGAAACGGAUUAUCCGUUAGUAAAAGUUAUUCACUUUCAGCUACAAUAAUCAGUAACGGAUUUUCCGUUGGUAACGAUGAUAUCUCUUUACCAACGGAUAUUCCUCGCCUCAUGUAAUAGUUUAACAUUUGGAUCUUUCACUACGGAAUAUCCGUAGGUGACGUACUAAAUAUUACCAACGGAUUCCAUCCGUUAGUAAUUAGAAACGAAUUAUUCAUUGGUAAAAGUAAUUUACUUUCAACUAUGAUAAUCAGCAACGAAUUUUUUAUUGGUAACUAUGUUAUUUUUUUACCAACGGAUAUUCUGUUAUUCAUGUAAUCGUUUAAUAUUAGAUUUUUUACAUACGGAUAUUCCGUUGGUAAUUAGAAACGGAUUAUCCGUUGGUAAAAAUAAUUUACUUAUCCCACAUCGAAAGUUCACAACAAAGUUUUCGGAGUUGCCCUCUAUAAAUUGAUUAUGUGAUCCAAUAAGUGGUUAAACAACAUUUUGGCCUUUCAAUUCGGUUGGUUAAAAGUUAAAAAAAUUAGAAUUAUUAAAUAAAUAAUAAAAACAAUAAUAAAAAAUAAAUAAUAUUUUUUUUUACUAUGUCUUACACCUAUGCGGCUAUUUACAAUAUUGAUUUUUAUCAAUUGUAAUGAUAGGAAUUUACCAAUGGAAAGUCGGUUGGUAUUGGUUAUAAUUUUUACCAACAAAAAUCUCGUUGGUAAAAGAUUCACACUUUACCAACGGAAAAUUCGUUGAUAAUAUGUUUACUCUUUACCUAUGGUAGGAUCCGUUGGUAACUAUCAGCGACCCUCAAAUUAGCAACGAAUUUGUGGUUGCAAAUAUUCCAUUGGUAAAGAGUAAUAGCAACGGAUAUCGAAGUUUUUGGAACAAAAAAUUCGUGCCUGAAUCCAUAUUUUUUAAUAGUGUCCUACGAGUUUUAGUUACACUUUAGCGUACAAUUUUAUUCACUUCAUUCCACUCUCCAGCCCUGUACGAUAUACAGGAGUAUAAGAAAUCAUGAAUUUCAUCUACAAAUCAUUUUUCUUACCUACCGAACCUUUGUGUCAUUAAUAAUUACAAUUUCAGACAUGCUCAUCUGUCAUAUUCAGAGUUUACAUGUACGUUGAAUAGAAAACAUGAGCAUUUUUUAUUUUAGUCUGCCUUAUUCUUGGUCGUCUCAAUCUUCUAAUUUCCUUUCCUUUAGAUUGUGUGAAAUUCUGGAAAGGUAAUAAAUUCUUCCAAAUUAAUCUUCUAUAGUUUUGACCUAUUUGAGAAUAGAUCGCACUUCUCUCAAUCUUGUUCCAGUUUUAGCCAUCAAAGUUACGUGCAAUUCAUUUAUGAUGUGAUAUGCAUGUGAACUUGAUAAUUUCAGCACUUUUUACCAGCAUAAUUUUUUUUAAUGUCGUUUAUUUUCUGAUUUCUUAGGUAUAUAUGAUUCAACAAACUACCUUCUCAUUCAGUUCUUAUAAUUUGUUACAUUUUGUGAUUUUUGCACACACUAAUUUGGUUUUAGCUUUUUAGAAUUCCUUUCUUUAUGCAACACUUCAUUUUCCUUUUUCUGUGAUUCUUUCUCUUCACUAAUCAAAUUUUCUUUACUCUAAACGAUUUUAUCAAAUACCUCCCAUUGCUUUUACCAUUCCCAAACUCUUGCUGUUUGGGUUUUUAAUCUAUGAUAGUCUGAAGUUCUUCCAAAACGGAUAUUACGUAUUUUCUCAUAUUUUACACCAGUUCCUUAUGAUGUCUUAUAGCUAAUAGUCUUAACCUUAGGAGUCGUCCACCAAGCUAAUUCAGAGAAAAAGCCAACGAUAUUCUUCCUGGGUUCAGUGGAUCUAGAAAAAUAUUAGCAGCAGAGAGUAGGAUAGCCUUUCUGUUUAUUUUUCUUCCUCUCUUGCUACUAUGUAUAAGAUAUUUACUUAUAACAUGAAAAGUAGCCCUAUGACAUGCAUAAAGGUAAACACAUUAUGGGUGUUUCGUUUAUUGUUGUUAUUUGCAAAUAGCUUACUAGAAAGUGAGAACGAGAAAUAUUAUCGAAUGGCAAAAUUAACUUGCAAGUGUUCUUUAGCAUCUUAGCGUAGGAUUUGAAAAGUAUUAUGAGUUUUGCUACAAUCCUAAUUUUUAUGGAGCAAUUAAUUCUGGAGGUGCAUAAGUUGAUGCUAUAGCAUACAUAUCUAUUUGUAAACAGGUUUGACUCUAUAGCUUUUGCUUUAAACAUUUGAAUUAGUCAGAGUUAUAACUCGCUGUAAUUUUACCUAGAUGUAUUGCUUGUUAUCUAUCUUUCCACAUAUUUGCUUUUUCAUUCUUACCCUCGUGUAGACUCUCUAGAUGCUUGAGAAUGAACAGUACUUCAGAAGAAGGCUCAUGCUGAGGUGGAGAAGGCCAAGAAUUUUCAUUAAGAUUGAUUUAAUGUUAACAUGUACUUAAACUAAAUGCGUAAAGGAUUCAAUAGUUCGAGACGUGAAGAGGGGAGUAAAGGACCUACAGAAACUUUUUCUAAUCCUAACUUGAUUGAGUGAAUUUAAAUCUUUAACUUGUGACCAAUCUUCGAGAACUUGAUGGCAGAUGCUCAUUGAAGGUUGCAUAGUAUGUGAAUGAUUUGCACCAAAAAACAUGCUUCCGCAAACUGCUUUUUGAUGUGUGAUUGAGGAUUUUGGCCUAAAUAAAUUGAAAGAGCAGAGGAUAGAAUUUCAUCCUCCUAAAGUAUCAAUUGUUGAAAAGUUGAUGCUCUUUAAAAGAUAUUUUUCCUUUUUCUUUCAUUUUCCUUCCCGUUUUAUUGUUUUCCCGGGUUUUUUGGUAGGCUGUUUUUUCAUCGAGAGGAGUCUCUCCCCAGAAAGCUAUGUUACAGAAUGUUAUUACAUCAGUGCCACAGUUAAUUGAUUAGUUUUCCUUUGAUGUAUUUGGGAAUGCUAAAUACCUAGCAAAUUGUAUAAUAGUGAGAUAAAAUGUGCUAACAAUUAUAAUUUUGAACAAUAAAUUUGGGGAUCCUUUUAAAUUUGGUUUCCAAGGGCAGUAUGAAAUUCAAGCUUGGUAUGCCCUGUUAAAUUUUACCUUCUAUACUGUUUAAUGGAGUAUUACUCUUUGUUUAUUCUUGAUUUCUAAAUUUUGUUUACUUCAUUUUUAGUGUAUAUUCAGAUGUCCUUAUGAAUUCUAAAAAUAAUUUUUCAUAGAACGAACUUCUCUAUAUGCUACUGUGAUUUCUGAGCAUUAUAAGGUGUUUUUAUCACAUGCCAAAAGAACCAGAAAUGUGGGAGUCUAUCUGCUGUUGUCAUUGGCAAUAAAAUGUUUAUUACUGUAAAAUGGGCUCAUUCAUUUGCUUGCUUCCUUGCUUGCUCUGGAAUGAGAGAACUUGGUAAAUGAUAAAUCUCUCUCUGUAUGCUCAAUAAAAGAAAGUGAUCCUCAAUCUGUCCUCAUAUUUCAAUAAAGAAUAAGCUUAACUGACUUUCAAGUUUAAUCCUUCCAGGGCAUCUGGUGGAGCAACGAGCAUUCCUUGAGGACAAAUAUAAACGUUAUAUUUCUUGUGACAUUUAGAUUAAUACUAUAACAAACAUCAAUUUCUUUACAAAUAUAUAUUGUCUCUAUGAUUUGAAUUUCUCAAAUGAUGUAAAUUGAUUUUUGACGUUUUAUUGAAUGCUAAAUACAAACAAGCCC